rnacentral:rRNA from 1 species
UACGUAGGGGGCAAGCGUUGUCCGGAAUCAUUGGGCGUAAAGCGCGCGCAGGCGGUCUUCCAAGUCAGUGGUGAAAGCCCGGAGCUCAACUCCGGAACUGCCAUUGAAACUGUAAGACUUGAGGAUGAGAGAGGUGAGUGGAAUUCCCAGUGUAGAGGUGAAAUUCGUAGAUAUUGGGAAGAACACCGGUGGCGAAGGCGGCUCACUGGCUCAUUACUGACGCUCAGGCGCGACAGCGUGGGGAUCAAACAGG